rnacentral:rRNA from 1 species
GAUGAACGCUGGCGGCGUGCCUAAUACAUGCAAGUCGAGCGAACGGAUAAGGAGCUUGCUCCUUUGAAGUUAGCGGCGGACGGGAGAGUAACACGUGGGUAACUUACCUAUAAGACUAGAAUAACUUCGGGAAACCGGAGCUAAUGCCGGAUAACAUUUGGAACUGCAUGGUUCUAAAGUAAAAGAUGGUUUUGCUAUCACUUAUAGAUGGACCCGCGCCGUAUUAGCUAGUUGGUAAGGUAACGGCUUACCAAGGCAACGAUACGUAGCCGACCUGAGAGGGUGAUCGGCCACACUGGAACUGAGACACGGUCCAGACUCCUACGGGAGGCAGCAGUAGGGAAUCUUCCGCAAUGGACGAAAGUCUGACGGAGCAACGCCGCGUGAGUGAUGAAGGUUUUCGGAUCGUAAAACUCUGUUAUUAGGGAAGAACAAAUGUGUAAGUAACUGUGCACAUCUUGACGGUACCUAAUCAGAAAGCCACGGCUAACUACGUGCCAGCAGCCGCAGUAA